CUCAAUUUUCAUGAAUCGCUCCAUAUCCUCUCUUCCUAAAAUGGUCUUGAGCCCGAUCUCUUUCCUUGGAAGCUUACCGAGGCAACUUCCUCAACAGGACAUUUGAAGAAGUCUACCCAACCUAGGAGCAUUUAGGAUAAUUUCAACACCCUUUACUACUGAUCUUAGAAUUCCAUCAGUGAAUACUAGAUUUGAAUAAAACUCC
rnacentral:lncRNA from 1 species